GAUGAACGCUAGCGGCAGGCCUAAUACAUGCAAGUCGAACGGUGGUAGCAAUACCAUAGUGGCGCACGGGUGCGUAACGCGUAACCAACCUGCCCGAAACUGGGGGAUAGCCCGCCGAAAGGCGGAUUAAUACCGCAUAUACUCGCAGCCUGGCAUCAGGUAACGAGGAAAGAUUUAUUGGUUUCGGAUGGGGUUGCGUGACAUUAGCUAGUUGGCGGGGUAACGGCCCACCAAGGCGACGAUGUCUAGGGGACCUGAGAGGGUGAUCCCCCCCACUGGCACUGAGAUACGGGCCAGACUCCUACGGGGGGCAGCAGUAGGGAAUAUUGGGCAAUGGACGAGAGUCUGACCCAGCCAUGCCGCGUGCCGGAUGAAGGCCUUCUGGGUUGUAAACGGCUUUUCUCAGGGAAGAAAACGGGUAUGCGUACCACACUGACGGUACCUGAGGAAUAAGCACCGGCUAACUCCGUGCCAGCCGCCGCAGUAAUAC
rnacentral:rRNA from 1 species